rnacentral:rRNA from 1 species
GACGAACGCUGGCGGCGUGCUUAACACAUGCAAGUCGAGCGGUAAGGCUCCUUCGGGAGUACACGAGCGGCGAACGGGUGAGUAACACGUGAGCAAUCUGCCCUUCACUUUGGGAUAACUUCCGGAAACGGAAGCUAAUACCGAAUACGACCACUUCAGGCAUCUGAUGGUGGUGGAAAGUUCCGGCGGUGAAGGAUGAGCUCGCGGCCUAUCAGCUUGUUGGUGAGGUAAUGGCUCACCAAGGCUUCGACGGGUAGCCGGCCUGAGAGGGUGACCGGCCACACUGGGACUGAGACACGGCCCAGACUCCUACGGGAGGCAGCAGUGGGGAAUAUUGGACAAUGGGCGAAAGCCUGAUCCAGCAACGCCGCGUGAGGGAUGACGGCCUUCGGGUUGUAAACCUCUUUCAGCGGGGACGAAGCGAAAGUGACGGUACCCGCAGAAGAAGCACCGGCCAACUACGUGCCAGCCGCCGCCGUAA